rnacentral:rRNA from 1 species
AUACGGAGGACGCGAGCGUUAUCCGGAUUCAUUGGGUUUAAAGGGUGCGCAGGCGGCCGUGCAAGUCAGCGGUGAAAGCCCGGGGCUCAACCCCGGAAGUGCCGUUGAUACUGCAUGGCUGGAAUGCGGUCGAGGCGGGCGGAACGGGGGGUGUAGCGGGGAAAUGCGUAGAUAUGCCACAGAACGCCGAUAGCGGAGGCAGCGCGCCAGGCCUGCAUUGACGCGCGGGCACGAAAGCGUGGGGAUCGAACAGGAUUAGAUACCCUGGUAGUCCACGCCGUAAACGAUGGGCGCUCGUCGUCGGCGGCAGACAGUCGGCGGCCAAGCGAAAGCGAUAAGCGCCCCACCUGGGGAGUACGGUCGCAAGGCUGAAACUCAAAUGAAUUGGCGGGG